AUUGAACGCUGGCGGCAGGCCUAACACAUGCAAGUCGAACGAGUGGCGGACGGGUGAGUAAUGUAUGGGAAACUGCCUGAUGGAGGGGGAUAACUACUGGAAACGGUAGCUAAUACCGCAUACCAUCAGAUGUGCCCACAUGGGAUUAGCUAGUUGGUGGGGUAACGGCUCACCAAGGCGACGAUGCCUAGCUGGUCUGAGAGGAUGACCAGCCACACUGGGACUGAGACACGGCCCAGACUCCUACGGGAGGCAGCAGUGGGGAAUAUUGGACAAUGGGCGAAAGCCUGAUGCAGCCAUGCCGCGUGUAUGAAGAAGGCCUUCGGGUUGUAAAGUACUUUUGGUGGGGAGGCGUUACCCGCAGAAGAAGCACCGGCUAACUCCGUGCCAGCAGCCGCGGUAAUUC
rnacentral:rRNA from 1 species